rnacentral:rRNA from 1 species
UACGGGGGGGGCAAGCGUUGUUCGGAAUUACUGGGCGUAAAGGGCUCGUAGGUGGCCAACUAAGUCAUACGUGAAAUCCCUCGGCUUAACCGGGGAACUGCGUCUGAUACUGGAUGGCUUGAGUUCGGGAGAGGGAUGCGGAAUUCCAGGUGUAGCGGUGAAAUGCGUAGAUAUCGUAAGGAAGACCAGUGGCGAAGGCGGGUCUCUGGACAGUUCCUGACGCUGAGGCACGAAGGUCAGGGAAGCAAACGGG